rnacentral:rRNA from 1 species
UUUAUUUUAAAAAAGUAUUAUAAAAUUCCUUCAUAUUGACUACGCUGACUUGAGUAACGGAAAUGAAAUAGAUUCAGCUAUCCAUGGUGAUAAGAUUCGUAAAUAUCGGUCAUUUA